CGCGAUUUUUAGUUAAUCGUACUUAGAGUUAGAUAUUUAUAUAGUUGAAAGGAACUUUUCGUAUUAAGAUGUCGUGGUCAUGUUAAGAAACAAUUAACUAGCAUUUGUGUGUGUGUAUGAGUUGUGUGGGGGUGUUACCUGCUGGCUGAAUCAUCAAGGACUGAAGAUCAGGGUCAAGCGGACCUGGGAGCCUAAAGAGAUGACUACUAAUUGUGAAAGUAUCAACACUUCAGCUAAGAACACCUGAAUCACUCGACUCAGCACUAAUGAGUCGAACUGCUGUCAUCGGGGCCCCUCUCCAGUCCAAUAUUCCAUUCCAACACUGCCUGUGAUCAACACUACGAUGAAGAAAUUACAUUCGUCCGGUGUUCGUGUCGCAAACUGUAACUAGAAUACAUUUUAUACCGUAGUUGUAAGUGUUAAGGUCGGUACACACAUCAGCGCGCCCGACGCGUCCUGACAGGAUCGGGAUUAAAAUAUCGUCGCAUACGUUUUGCAUACGAUGUGCGCCUCGCCCAUUAGUGGCUAUCGAGCUGGAUAUUUUCUCUUCACUGUCAGACACUGCAAUGCUUAUAACUGACGUCACAUUUAGAAAACAACUGCGAACAAAAUGUUCCCGCGUAUUAUUUUGAUACAGCUAUUUUCUGCAUGUGUCGUUCCCAUGUCGACCGUGAAAGGGCACGUAUUAGGCACAGCACGGUGAUCUGUGCACCGACUGAAUUAUGUUAUUAAUACCUCUGUGAUAUUUAAGAUGAUUUAAUUGAAGAUGUCCGGAUGAGUCACCGAGGAGCGCUGUUUGAUUUGUAAUCUAACGGUAAACACAGACCGUAUUCAACAAUCUGUUGACGCAUAAUAUAACAACGUACUCACGUACGAGUUAAAUCCUAUACUAUUGUGUACUACACGCAAGGUUAAUUCAAAUUAGUAAACAACUUAUUGGGUGACUCACUGAGUAAUAACAAGUUAGCGCUGUAAAGAUAGUUAUGUAUUCAGAACUGCGAAUUGUCGUCUAGCGUAGAUAUUAUGUUGUGAAAUUGUUGUUUUACAAUAAGUAUUCCAUUGUAGAGUGGUCGUGACUGAGUGAUGUGUUCGUGUAUUACUUACUGGACCGCGAAUUACAAGAAUAAGUAGACUGAGAGACUUAUAUAGACAUUUGUACUUCUCAUCUCAAACAUUAGUGACCUAAUGAAUGAUUUGUUAAGGAGAAAGUAACUCGAAAGUAGGAUGUAGUAGUGAUUAUUAUGUAGGUGUGCUACAAUACUCUGUGGGCAGAUUCAUUCUGUGAUCCGAUGGACCAGUUUUUUGAUGACUAACGGGUUUUAACCCGAAUCGAAUGCCCGAUGUCUAUUGGUUCUGGCACCUCAUACCUACUCAUAGUACUAUGGUGUUCAUAAGAAUCAUGACUACAGGUCUAUUUAAAAAUAUUUAUGAACAAUUCCGCGACUAUAUUGCUUUUAAGUACGUAAUGUUUAUAAAUAAGUUCCUACGAAAGAUUGAUUUAUAUAAAAAGCUAAUAAUUAGAUACUCGUUAAAUUAUAAAUCGGUAAUUUAUUAAUUGGCACGAUUCAAACCAAAGUUUUAGGAAAACAGUAUUUUUUAUACUAAUUAUAAUUGGAAUUUAAAACAAACGCUAUGCUUCGCUUGAAAAUAAAGAUUAAAUUAAUAAACGUAAAAAUGCUUUUAACACUGAAAAUCACAGGAACAUAGCAUAAUUUAAGAAAGUAUAUGAUCAACUAAAAUCACGAGCAAAAGUACACAAGAAAGAAAUCAGACAAUUUUUCUCAAAACCACCAAGCAUCAUUGUGAACCGAAAAAAACUAUACAGGUUAGUUACACAUGUCUUCCAACCAAGUUUGAAUGAACUUCGGAAGUCUGCAAAUAUUUGUCUCGUGACUACACCUCCAUCAUAAAGCCACCAACGAGUCUUAAACAAACUUGUAUUGUAGAACAUAAUAAAUAAUCUGUGUAAUGUAGCAUAUAACGCUAUCAAAGUGCAUUGUACUUCCGUUACUUAUAUCUAUGUAAAUACUAAACUAUAUUCCGAUGUAAACACUAGGCCAACUGUUACACUAAGGGCUUGUGCAGACAAAGGACUUUUGUCCGGUAAGGACUAAAAUUUAUUCAGGAUUUGCUUGAAACUUUCAAUACCCAACAGCUACAGGGUUCUUUAAAACAUACCGAAUAACUUGAAUGAAAGGAUUUCGGAGUUUCCAAAGAAUAAAGAAGUCAGCCGAACAAAAGUUCUUCCUCUCUACAUGUCUUUAGAUGUAUGACUGUAAAUAUAUUACUAAAUAAAUACGUAAUAAGCCCAUGAUGUUUCGUUUGAACUUUGGGCCAAGUUAUAUAACUAUCCUUUUCACACAAAUAUCUUCUAUAUUAAGUGUGAGAAAGACAGAAAUAUGACUUGGCCCAAAACAUAGACAACGUCUAUUUAAUUCGUUUAGUAGUAAUCUUCAAUACUUACAUACGUAUAGCUUGUAGAAUUAAAUUAUUAACAUCACAUGUAGUACUUUAUGACAUUAUUAAUUGAUUUGUAGUAAUUAUGUCUCAUUAUAUAUAAGUGUUAUUGAAUGAUCUGCGCUGAAUCUCGCUCGAUGUCUAUGUAAUUACCACUGUAUUAGUUGUAUUCGCGCAUUUUGUAUUUUUGUACAUUUGUAUCAUUGUUAAGCUAGUCAGUAAACAAAACGAAACUA